AAGAAGAGAGAAAACGUAGCAAGCUGCAGCAAAAAUAAACGGUGAAGCGCGACGAUGCCGGCCAAGAAGACCCCCAGUUACUUACCAGCCUGCUUGCCAGCCAUUUUGACCAGAAAGAGAAGCGUUGCCUUCUGGUCAGUCCUGUAUACAGCACUAAAGCUGAUGAAUGAUCUCUUCUAUCUUACACUAGCCAAAGUGAAGUCUGAAAGAUGUGAAGAAAUGCAAUACAUUUGCACAUUGGCACAUUGCCCUGCAGAGGACUGGCAACACCAGAAAUGAUGGAGACAGGAUACAUCAACCUGUAUCACUGAAGACGAUGUGGAGCAGAGCCUUUGUGGUCCUAAGAAACAUGUAUAAGAUAAAAACUUUUGUGGUUUUUCAAUCA
rnacentral:antisense_RNA from 1 species